GUAGUUAGCCGGGGCUUCCUCCUCAAGUACCGUCACUUCCUUCGUCCUUGAGGACAAAAGUUUACAAUCCGAAAACCUUCUUCCUUCACGCGGCGUUGCUGGGUCAGGCUUUCGCCCAUUGCCCAAUAUUCCCCACUGCUGCCUCCCGUAGGAGUCUGGACCGUCUCUCAGUUCCAGUGUGGCCGAUCACCCUCUCAGGUCGGCUACCCAUCGUUGCCUUGGUGGGCCUUUACCUCACCAACUAGCUAAUGGGACGCGAACUCACCCCAAACCGGAUUACUCCUUUUACCUCAACCCCAUGCGAGGUCGUGGUCUUAUGCGGUAUUAGCACCUGUUUCCAAGUGUUAUCCCCCUGUCUGGGACAGAUUGUUCACGCGUUCCUCACCCGUCCGCCGCUAACAGUAUCAACCGAAGCCAAUACUGUCCGCUCGACUUGCAUGUGUUAGGCACGCCGCCAGCGUCGUCCUCGAGCCACUGAUCAAACUACUCGA
rnacentral:rRNA from 1 species